CGUGUACCCGCAUGCUCAGUGUGUUGUUCUUUACCUGCCUCUCUCACUGAGUGCUUAGCCGUCUGCGUUUUGUCUUGCCUUCUCCCUUCCGUGCCCUGUGCACCUUGAGGACCGUGCAGAGAAGAAAAGUGAGAGAGCGUGCAGAACCGCGCGAGCGGGAAUCACCGGAGACGAAGCCGAAUCCACUUACAGGGCAUACCGGAGCGUCGGUGUCAUUUUCUCGCUUCCAUUUUGCCACAUCAUCGACUGGGCGGCGCGGCGGUCCCCUGCCUUUUACGCACAUCUCCCUCCAAGCGUCUCCAAGCGUCGUGUCAGGUCGAAUCACUGUGCCGCGUACGUUCCUUUAUGGCGGCCUCCGUGGAUGGGGCAGAGCUGCAGGAGGCGUUGCGGAGCCGUGCUCCGUAUCAUCUUCUCCCCGCGUCGCUACAGCAACGCAUGACACCGUACGACUACCAAACCAAAACGAUCCAUCACGCUAUCCUGCACGGACACGCGUAUUAUCGACUUCCAGAGUUUGUGCGAGCAGCAGUGAAGGAGGAGGCUUACUACCAAGAGAUGGUGCGAUACGCUGCGGAGCAGCUUCAGCUAUACCCGUACGUGCAUCAAAAAAGUAUCAUCCUUUACACGAAGGAGACGCCGCUGUCCUACUACACAGGCAUCUUCGCUGAGCUACUCAAGCAGGAGCAGAGCUACCACCGCUUGCCUAACUUCACCGCCAUAGACGCGCUCAACCUCCUCGGCAUCGGGCGAAAUCAAUACUUGCAGCUCACAAAGGAGGUCCGCAGUAAGCUGCGCUGGCACGUCAACCGCACCUACGUCAACGAAUACCUGCCCAGUGCGCUCUUGCCAUCUGCCACGGUCGAUCCCUUCUGGUCUAUCGACACGGUCGACUACACCGCAGAUGUGCUCAAGAAGCGCUUUCAGAGGCUCUCGCCGGAGGAUGUGGUGCUUUACCGGAUGCUGGUGAGCAAGGGCACCGCCUCCGUGCGGCCUGAGAUGCUGGCCGCCCUACAGACGCCCCAGUCUGUCUUUGCAAAGGACACCAUCUACACGUACGAGCUGCCGAAGGCGGCGCUGCGGCAGCUGUACCGGAACGGGCUCGUGCUCGCGAGCUUUGAGGUCUCGCCGGACGCGUACGUUGUCGUGCCUCCGCUGGGUGGAAACUUCGUGAUGAACCGCACGUCUGAUGAUCCGCAGGAGCUGCUGCUCUACCGCGUGCUCUCUACCGUUGACGAUCGCACCUCACUCGGCCUACUGGCGCAGCUCCUGAUGCUGGACGAGGAGGACGUGUGCGGCGCCGUGCAGCUUCUCCUGCGGCUGGGACUUUUGCAGUGGAAGUCCCCCUCGCUGCCAUCAAGGCUGGACGUCGCUACGCUCGACGGGGUACACCCCAGCUGGCAAGAGGAAGUGGCCGCCCGUGUCAUUGCCUUCACUCGCUACCAACUGCAGACCUCGAUGGGUGGACUCACCGAGCAUGAUGACGCCGCCGCUGGGUGCGACAUCGGCCCCACUGCUAGCGAUCCUCAUCCGUCGAAGCGUGUUGCCCUCCUCUACGACGCGACACUAACGGGCUUCCUUAUGAUGACAAACCUCAGCCACGACCCGACAUUCAAGCGACAGGCGGUGAUGCUCUUUGAGGUGGGGAAGAUGCCGUACGAGAUGGUACCCGCCUUUCUUGCGCUGCUGGAUCGCGUUGACUGGAAAGAGAUGGAGCGGUUUGGCGGGGAGGCAAAGAAGUACAUCAACAGUGUGAUGUGCAUGCGGCGCUUGCUUCACGCACUCUGCGAGGUAGUAGGGCCUCAAGGGGCUGUCGGGGUAGACCUGCUCAAGAUCGAAUCGCUUAACGAGCUGGAGGCGACGACGCGGUACUCGGUGCUGGGGCGAAACUACUGGGCAUACGUAAUCACGUCGCCCGUCUCGGCUGCACCCCUCAUCGACGUUGAGCUAAGCUGUGUCUACGGUAGCACGGUCAGUUUCAUGACGUCGCCGUGGAUGCUGCUGUUCCUCUACACGAAGUUGCAGCGUGGCCCUCCGUCGCUGCUGCUCCCCUUCGGUACGCUUUUGCAUCGCUGGCCGCCCUUCCUGGAUGAACUCGAGGAAGCCCCUGAGAGUGAGACAAGUGCGGCGGCGGGGUCGACCGUUGUGGUGGGGUACAGCGUGCUCUUGCGCCAGCAGACCAUGACCCUCGAUGCCGAGGUCACCUACACCGACCUCAGUAGUUCACUGCUGCUGCUCAACGAGGUGACUUCCACGGCGCCGGUCUUUGUGCAGCAGGUUGCGCGUAUUCCGCUUGUCUUGCGCAAGGACGGCAGCGUGGCAGCCGACGGCGCCUAUCAGCAUCUCGAAGUCACGGUGCCGUUUUCGGCGUCCCAGACACAACUGCAUCGACUCGUGGAGUCCUCCAUCGCCGCGCACCAUCCAUCUGCGACGGCCGUCACUCUUGUCGACCGUGGCGAUACAAUGUGGAGCCUGUUAACCGACAGUGUCGCCGCCUUGCGGCUGCAGAACUCUCUCGGCUACCUUACCUUCACCUUCACAUAUGAGCAACUCGGCACCCCUGAAGGUGCCUCCGUCGCAGAGCUCUUCUGUCAGCUACGCGCCGCGUACGUGGUCGAUAUCGGGCUCGGCGUUCCGCUUACCCACGUCGAGGCGUGCGAGCUUCUUGUGGACGCUAUUCCUCGCCUGCUUAGCGAGGGCUGCAGUGAGCGCCACAACGCCGCAAUGCGGGAAUGUGUGGCCGAGUUUGGCGCUUUCCUCGAGCGCUACUCGACCCUCACUCGCGCUGUGCACGCGAAAAUGACGAUUCAGUCGACAACCACCACCGGCCCCGUGACGCAACAUCACCUGCGGAAGAUCGGUGGCGUCGGCGGCGCUCCUUAUCCGGCGACUCUACUGUCCUUUGACGGCAUCUCCCUGAGUGUCACGGACGACGCCGAUCCGCUGUCCGAGCAGUGGUGAGGGGCCAGCGCUGCACUGCUUGCUCAUUGCAUUUGUGGUUGUGUUGCUGUUUUGUUUGUAGGAGAGGUGUCCGCGGCUGUCAGCGGGAGCCGUUACGCGCAAACCGCUUACCACCUGCUGCACCUCCCUGCCGCUAACGCCCGCGUCAGAGAAC
rnacentral:misc_RNA from 1 species